AUUUUAAUGUGUUCUCUCUCUCUCUCCGCCUGUUACAACAGUCGUUCCUUUGUAGCUCGCCUGGAAAGGAGAUAAUCUGCAUAAUGUUGCCUUUGCCGCACUGGAUCAAUGCCAGGCAUCAGGAGAUCUGCUUUGAAGGCCAUUUUCCCGGAUCAGGCACUGGCGUGUCUCCACCCUCUGUGUGAGACUGGCAUAAGCUGAGCUCUCUGGCCAAACCCCUGGCUCCUGAAUGGGAACAGCUGCUUUGUUCUACUUGAGCACCGAGUUCUCGUCAGACGGGUGUGGAUGGAAAGGCAAGAUCUGCAUCCUGAUGCUUGACUCUCACCAGAAUGUUGGCUGUCUUUCCUCAGGCCUGAAUCUAAGCCUUGCCCAGGUCAGAGGGCAUCAGCUACUGGAUCUGCUACUGUCAGCUUGGCAUACUAUUGAGGAAAACUCCCUCCAUGAUCACUUUGCAGGAUGGGCAGUUGGUUCUCAUCUUCAUGUGAUCAUGUUGGUGUCUUCUGGAUUCUCUUGUUUCCUUCAUCUCUCAAAAAUAUUUCGGUAGGUGGUGUCCUACAAUGUAUUGGCAUACUAGCCUGGGUGAAUUCCUGUCUCAUACCCAGUGUUCCUGGGAAAGGCUCCAGAUGCACCACAACCCUGACCAGGAUAAAGCAGUUGCUGAAGAUGUAUGAAUGAAAGAAUGUUGAGCAAAAACUCUGGUAUCAUUAUACAGAAUGCAAAUGAAAGGUCAUGGAACUCUCCUUUUUGACUUCCUUUUUUACUUGUGUUUGGUCAUGUCUUCUGGUCUUUGUUUGCUCUUAUGUUCAUAGUGUGUUUCCUUCAGCAUAUUGUGAUAGCAUUUUAGUCAUACUAUAAUAUUUAUUUAUUUGCAUGAGUAAAGCUUUACUCACAAAGUCUGUAAUUUUAGUGUGUAGUCUUCUUGCUUCUAUUUGCUAAUUUCUUUGUUCCACAUGAUAUCCUGUAACCUUUGAACUGCCACUUGAUAGACAAACCUACAAGCUUAUGCCAAGAAAUCCUGGUCUUCUUUACAAUCCUAUUCGAUUAUAAUAAAUGCACUUGCAGUUUGCUCACAAAGCAAUUCAUACUGUCAGAGUUUGCUAUGUUACAUUCUAAUAUAAAAAAAAGGUCAAAUGUUCCACAACAAACUAAAUUGUUUCUUACUCAUAAUAUUUUUGAUAAAAAAAAUGUAUUAGGCAUUAAUUGUGAAUUUAUUUUGAUUUUUUUUAUCUUUGAUUAAAACCCAGAAUUCAUACUGACUACA